UUUGACCUCGGAUCAGGUAGGGAUACCCGCUGAACUUAAGCAUAUCAAUAAGCGGAGGAAAAGAAACCAACAGGGAUUGCCUCAGUAACGGCGAGUGAAGCGGCAACAGCUCAAAUUUG
rnacentral:rRNA from 1 species